GAUGUUCUGGGUCUGUCAGCACCACAGGCAGCGCACAGCUGACCCACUGUGCCUGUGGCAUCGGGGCAAAGAACAAGUGGCUAUUUCUGCACUGUGUUCAGAAGCCAGUGAGCACUAAGAACACAUUUUAGCCUGACAUUU
ensembl:snoRNA